AUUGAACGCUGGCGGCAGGCCUAACACAUGCAAGUCGAGCGGAUGAAGGGGGCUUGCUCCUGGAUUCAGCGGCGGACGGGUGAGUAAUGCCUAGGAAUCUGCCUGGUAGUGGGGGAUAACGUCCGGAAACGGGCGCUAAUACCGCAUACGUCCUGAGGGAGAAAGUGGGGGAUCUUCGGACCUCACGCUAUCAGAUGAGCCUAGGUCGGAUUAGCUAGUUGGUGGGGUAAAGGCCUACCAAGGCGACGAUCCGCAACUGGUCUGAGAGGAUGAUCAGUCACACUGGAACUGAGACACGGUCCAGACUCCUACGGGAGGCAGCAGUGGGGAAUAUUGGACAAUGGGCGAAAGCCUGAUCCAGCCAUGCCGCGUGUGUGAAGAAGGUCUUCGGAUUGUAAAGCACUUUAAGUUGGGAGGAAGGGCAGUAAGUUAAUACCUUGCUGUUUUGACGUUACCAACAGAAUAAGCACCGGCUAACUUCGUG
rnacentral:rRNA from 1 species